AAUUCAUCACCAGUAGUUUAAUAUAUAUGAUGUGUUUGUCUCCUCUUCUUCUUCUUCUUUCUUCUUCUUCUUCUUCUUCUCUUCUUUAAUUCCUUCUGUUGGAUUUUUGGUUUUAUGCUUUUUGUUUGUUACAUAUUUUUCGUAUUUGGGAUUUUGCGUAUUUUUUGACUUAAUUGGAUGAAUGAAUUGAACAUCUUUUUGUGAAUUUUUGCAAAUUGAUUUUUGCAAAUAACCUCAUCCAAAUAUUUGUUCGGUUUAUUUGGAUGUCUCCUCAUACCCGCCAUAAUCAAUUCCACCGAAAUACAAGAUUAACACUACCAUUACUGGUAUGAGAGAAAAAAUACUCGAUUGCCUACUAACCUUGUCAUAUCCCGCCUAAUUACCUCAUCCAAAUACUUGUUCCGUUUAUUUGGAUGUCUCCUCAUACCCGCCAUAAUCAAUCCCACCGAAAUACAAGAUUAACACUACCAUUACUGGUAUGAGAGAAAAGAUGCUCGAUUGCCUACUAACCUUGUCAUAUCCCGCCUAAUUACCUCAUCCAAAUACUUGUUCGGUUUAUUUGGAUGUCUCCUCAUACCAACCAUAAUCAAUCCCACCGAAAUACAAGAUUAACACUACCAUUACUGGUAUGAGAAAAAAGAUGCUCGAUUGCCUACUAACCUUGUCAUGUCCCGCCUAAUUACCACAUCCAAAUACUUGUUCGGUUUAAUUCUAUAUCUCCUCAUACCCACAAUUAUCAAUCUCACUGGGGCAUCAGACAUUUCAAUUCACACGUUCGAACCAUCUCAGCCUCCAUUGUGACAUAUUUAGAUAAGACAAAAAAUACAUUUGACCCAAAUAUUAACGGAGGCGAAUUUGAACCAUUUGUGAAAGAACAAUGGAGAAUUUGACCCUUUUCCCAGACUUCCUCUGAAAUUUGAAAUCAGCUCCAGAGCAAAGACGUAUAGAAAAUACCCUAGUCAAAGAUAUCUCUCCUCCAAAUCCAACUAUGGCGAUGAGCAAAGCUGCAAAACUACCCGAAGAAAUCAUAAUUGACAUACUUUCCCUCCUACCUGCAAAGUUUAUAGGCCAAUAUAGGUGCGUGUCAAAGCAGUGGUGUAACCUUCUCUCAGACCCACAAUUCAUCAAAUCUCACCAAACCAUCCAUGCCCAUAAAGGAGAAGAGAAACUCAUCUAUGUCUCUUGGUAUCGCGAACUUCAAACUAUCACGUUUAACCACAACCCCCAAAAUGGAAUCGAUAUCAUCUCAAGGACGCUUAAUUUGCAGCAGCUUUCAAACAGCUGGGUAAGUGUUGCUGGCUCAUGCAAUGGCUUGGUCUUGGUGAUUAAGAGGGAAGAGGCUAAAUAUUUGAUCAACCCCACUACCUUAGAGUACCAU
rnacentral:lncRNA from 1 species